CCUAGUUCAUCAUUUAAUUCACAAAAUUGAAGGUCCGAAUCUGAUCAAAAACAAAACUUGAGCAUAGAUUACUGAUCCUCAUCACAAGAGGAUUACAAGGAAAAGAUACCGGAGCGUCGAGUGGACAAGCCGGUGGCGAUUCGCGUUGAAGGGCGUGCACUAAAGGUAAUGAUGGGGUAUUUCCGGAUGGCGAUCAAGCAUGCUCAGAAGAACCGAACACUCAUUUUAAAGCUUCCGCAAUAUCUUAACUUUUAAUAGAUUACGCUCAUG